AUCUAAUCUAAUACUAGAAUACCAUCUAAUUUAAAAACUAGAAUAUCAUCAAUAUAUCUGCUAUAUAUGAGCUGCUAUCACUUUUUCUAUUUGAUAUAUCGGGGACGAGGUUUUAUCAACCAUAGGUCUUAUACUUAUUGAUAUUUUGUGGGCCUUUACAUAUAUGAAAAGCUUGGGAUCAUAGAAGUUGUUCAUAUGUCUAACCUUCUCAAAAGGAAGACAAAUAGUUGAACUUUAUUAUCUUAUUGACUUUAGCAUUUAAUACUUCGGUAGGGUCUGACCUGAAAACCUCUGAAUCUGAUUUCUGUAUAAAGUCCUGUAAGAGGUCACUAUAUUGUUCUUUCCUGAUAAUGGCUACUUUUCUAGAUUUGUCAUUCUAAUGCACACAACCAAUGCUUCUUCCAUCCAUCUCUUGGUAAACCUACCUGUUCCCUGGAAGUACUGUUCAGUCUCUUAUCCCUACAGCUAUUCUCUUCACUUCUCACAAACUCCCACCUUAUCUUCUCCCGAUAUGUUUCAUCAUGUUCAUGCGGUCCACAGAGGGGACCAUAUCAGAGAUAUACAUCAUUAUUUGAGACACUGCAUUUGACCUACAAGGAUCAAAUCUCUCACCUGAUCUGGGAGGGCUAGGAUUAUAAUGAAAAUCAGCACUGUUUAGCAGUAAAUAUUUUUGUUUCACUCUAGGCUGGCGUUUUUGGUGGUUG
rnacentral:lncRNA from 1 species